GUGAUCUCUUGCUCCUGGGUGGUAUGUGUUUUGUGAGCUCUGAACUUUAACAGUUCCCUUCUUUCUGUUCUUGCAGUCGUUGCCACUUACUCAGAGGCUCAGAGCGGUGAAUUCUUAUGAUAUCUUCUUUUCAUGGAGUGGCCUUGUUUGUCGAUUAUUCAGGUUUCAUUAGUUCAGCUUUUAUAUGUACUGGGAUUUUCAAUUCAUUUUUCUUCCCUAAUCAGCGGCUCCCUUUUCUAUUUGUCAAAGUUACUGUUGUAUGGAUCUCAACUAAGAUAAUAUUUUUCACUAGUGUAUGUUGUGUUCUGCUGUCAUGAAGUUUUUAAUCCAGAUGCAUAUGCUUUCAAUGAUCCAACUGAUGAGAUCCCUGAUGGUUAUGGACACCUGAUGAAGUUCCCAAACUCAAUUUUGGAUCUUUCCGUAAAGUACUCCUCCUUGGUGUUCUUGCUACUUCUCUGCGUCCUUUUUCUUUUGUUUAUCACAACCACUUGAUUUUGUUUGGUUGGUUGGAAGGAUGUAUGUAGACCACACGGUGACAGUGAUUACAUUUGGGAAUUUCAGAGUUUGAUAUUCUCUCAGGCUUCGAGAGAAGGGGGUGGUCCAAUCUUGUCUGGCAUCUCUGGUGAUUUCUAUGUGACAUGGUUUCUUGGCUUUGAACUUGACUGCUGCCUUCUUUAUGUAUGUGCUUGCAGCUGUUGGUCUUUAAGAGUGGUGACUUCUUCCUUCCAUGGAGCAGCCUUGUUUGUCCAUUAGCGUUGUGGUUUUUUUGUAGUUUGGUUUCUAUGAGUAUCUUCCCUAGUCUCUUUGUCGAAAUUGUUGUUAUAUGGAGUAUCAGCAGGCGUUCCUGAGGUUGGUGUUCAGUAUUCAUUCCUGUGCACGCUGUUUCUUGGUCUUUGGUCUUUUAUUGCAGUCUAAAUGCCGUCAGGCUUCAAGAAAAAAUGGGUUUUCAGUAUUUUCUCUGGAAUCUCUGGUGAUUUCCUGAGUGAUUCGGGUUUCGCCACUUGGUGUGCUUGCAGUUGUUGGACGGUCUUAAAGCAGUGAAUUUCUUCUUUUCAUGGAGAAGCCUUUGGUUUUUCCGGUUUGUGUUGAGGUUUCAGUAGUUCAGGAUUCUAUUUGUAUCAGAUUCUCAAUUCGGUUUUUUUCUCUAAUCAAAGUGAUUUUCUUCUCGCAAUAUUUUCUUUGAAGUGAUGCUCUUCUGGUAGUCAUUUUCUGAAGAAAAUUUAGCAUGCCCUUGGUGGUUUUGUUGCUUGGUCGUUUCCAUUCAAUUUUUGGUUCUUUUAUUAGUUGAUCUAUCUGCAGCCAUAAUCACUCCGUUGCAUAAUUAGAUUUAUGAAACGAAACAAAAUUUUGGGGAGAGGGUGCAACUAUCAUUUUGGGCGUUUAGUUUCUUAGGAGUUCUCUUUGAAUCUUUUUGUGUAAUCAAGUUUCAGUCAGUCCUGUUUCUUCCCGGUGGUCGGCCCCAUCUGCCUGAUUGUUAGAGACGUUAUCUUAAUCAGGUCUGCAUAAUGUGAUUUGAGUUCGUUCUGGUGAUUUUCGCAAAAAUGCUACUAGCCUUCUGUUGGAUUCGAUAUCUCUGCUCUGUUUUAUUUACAAUCAGUAGUCAUCCUGAAUAAGCAUCCCUGUCUGUGGGUGGAGGGGAGCAACUCUAGUUCUUUUUUUCUGCCAGUUGUCCGUCUGGUUCGUUGGGUUUGAUUUUCUCCUGUAUGUAGGUUUCUGCUCUGCAAUCCUUGGUUGUGGCUGUUGAGAGUUUGAGCCGAGGGAUUAUGAGGUUUUUGGCGUUACACAACUAGUCUAGUGUGUUCAUUUUCCUGAUGACCAGAGAUAUUUGAGGUUUUUUCCGUAUCCAUAGAAUAGGUCUGGAUUUUGUUGGUGUAGUUGUAUCGUUAUACCUCAAGAUAUUCGUGAUUAUCUUGUAUUUUUUGGAAUGGUGUUUUGAUGACUUCCACAUAGUUUCAGCUUUGAGCAUGGAGUGAUAGGUCUAGAUUUAGUUUAUUUGCUCUUUUUCUAUUUUAGUCUUGCUUCAGUAUCUUUUUCCGUGGCUUCUUUGUAUGCUUUUUUUGGAGGCUUCUGUUUAGCUGGAUAUUUUUCCAAGUGCAGGCUUAGUGUCAAAGCUAGAUGGGCGGGGGUGUCUGAGGUUUGGCUGCAUGCUAUUUGUUUAUUUGGUCUGCAGUAGACUUUCAUUUCCUAUUGCGGUAGUCGUAGUCCUUGUGUUGGGAAGUUGCGGAACGGGCUUUUUCUCCGUUGGCCAUGGGUACCAAUGCACUUGUUAUUUGAUGAUGGGAUGGAAGCACUUGCAGAGUCUUCGCAACCAGUGUUGAGUGAUUAUCCAAAUUGGGCUUCUCGCUUGCAUCUUUGAUAGAUGCGUAAGGUAGUCCUCUAUUUGGUGUUCUGGCUAUCUCAUCUCUCCUGCUUCUGUAUAUCACACCAGCUUGAUUUUGUUUGUUGAAUGGUAGUAGACCACAUGUGACCAUAAAUAAUAAAGAACUGGAUUCGGAAAGGGCAUAUCCAGUUGUGCGCUUGUGGGCCUUGGUGUUUUCUUUUUGGUACUCAUACUGUGAGGUGGAUCGUGUCAACUUCGAGGAGAAGGGGUCUUUUGGCAUCUUUUGUCUGGCAUUUCUAGUGAUUUCUUCGGUGGUAUGGGUUUUGCCAAUUGCGUACUUACCGGGCCCUCUUUCUGUGCUUGCAGUUGCUGGGUCAUUAGCAGUGAAGGAUAAUUUUGUUAUUGUUUUAAUGGGACACUGUGGUGUUGGUUUGUUCGAUUUUUCUUCCUUAUUGUGUUAAGUUGCUCUAAACUAUACCGCUGAGAUGUGAGAUAGUCAAUUCAAUUUCUUUCCGCGCCAUCUUCCUUCUUCAUGUAUAUCAUAAGUUUCUGCAUUGAUCAGUACCCAUCUAUCUCCUGACCUUCAACUGUUAAAUGCUGUUUGGGGCAUGUUGAAGGUAUGUGGAUUCACUGUUUGUCUGUGACGGAAGGUUCUGCAUUGAUCAGCUUCUGACUGGUGAGGACUAUAUCCCUAAGCUUGUCAAUUUAUAUUUAUCGCCGCUAUGCAGACUCGGGUCCCAGUCUGCCUGUAAGAGGAUUUUCAAUGGGUUCUAUUUAUCUGCUGUUGCUCAAUAUUAUGUGGGCUUUCUUUCUUUUCCUGACUGGUCACAGCUAAAAAAAGUUAGAAGUGAGCUAUGCGGGUAAUAAAGAGCAAUUGGGCCGAAUCUGAUAAAACUGGAAGGCCGACAGCACUGGGCCGUAAUUACUCUUUUGAAUUCGACUUAAUUUGUAUUAUUUUGGUUAAAACUCAGUUUUGUGGCACUGCAUAGGUACUAGGACGAGAUGCAACUCGCUCAUAUGUUUUUACCAAAAGGGGGGUGGAUUCAAUUUUCCAUCUGUACAAGCAAUGAAUGAAUGGUAUUACAUUAAGAUAAAUUCAUAAUCCCACCAAGCAUAGAAAAGGAACCAAAAUUUGUCAAUUCUCAUGGCAUAUCCGUCAAUUGCAUUAUGAGUAGACAUAGUACAUCAUGCAUGUUACUAAAGGUUUAAUAAUGUGUAAUAUUUCUGAUCAUUAGUCAUUUGUUGGUCCAAGAAGUUGCUGCCAGAACUAGUGGGCUAUGCAACAAAAUAUAUUGAUCCUUGCCCCAGGUGUUGACCAUCCGUCCUAUGUUAUGCAGGAUUUGUUACUGCAGCUGAUCAAGAAUUUCCACUAGUUGAACUACGUCAUAAGACUCCCUAAGAAUGAUACUAAUCAACGACUAUUACAACUUUCAACAUGUAUCUGUCUAGCAGAUUUAUCUUGCUAGAAGGAGCUUUUGGCUUUGCGUAAUAUCCCUACCUUUUUUGUAUGACAUGAACUUUGGCAAAUUCUUGUUUGACAAGGUUUUAUCUUGUGGAGAAAAGAUGAAAGUGGAGAAAGGCCAUUCAGUGAAUGAUGUGUUGUUUUCUGUUCAGAUGCCUUGCCACUUGACUUACAUGACGCUUUAGGAUGAUAUGGAAAUUGUUUUGUUGUUAAGAUCAGAUUAUGGGUGGUUUUUAAAUCUACCAGCAAGAGGAUAUCUAAUUUAAUGUUUUGUUUAUGCUGGUGAGAGUAAUCUGUGGAACGAAUAAGAAACGAAUUGCCUCGUGUUGUUUCUUCUUUGGCUGUUAUUGUCCUGCAUCGUCGUAGAAUUGAUAUGGCUUCUUAUAUAUACGCAAGCUUGCUUAUUGUCUUUCAGCCAUUCUAUACAUGGCUGGAUAGAAGGCAAAACCCUUUUCUCUUUGGUGUCAGUUACUAUUUCUUGUGGACUAUUCUACAGAUGCCUUUGUUUACUCUGGUGAUGGUAAUUAGCACUGUUAAUCUGGUAGUGGUACUUGACAAGCUAAUCUUUGAUGGGAUCUUCAGUUUUACUUUGGGUCCCUGUCUCUUUCAGUGUGUUUGGGUUUGAGUUUCCUCUCAAGAGGCAUGAUGAAACUUGGUUGGUGUCCCCUUGGAGAUGUUAUUUCAGUCCACAGUCUAUCUCCUUGUUGAGUGCUGUAGUUCGAGACUUCUUAACCUCUCAUAACCUGGAGACGUAAGUUUGAGUUUUGGUUAAUUGGUCUUUUGUUUUCAGCUCUUUCUUCUCUAAUUCUCACAAUCUAUGAUUCUUUGGUAUUUUGGUCGCUUGACCUAAGUAAAAAUGUGGUACCUUAAGUUGCCGAAAAGACUAAUUCUCGGUGUUGCAGAUAUUUUGAUGUUCUGCUUAAUUUUCACUUUUGUUGGUUUCUAGAGGCAAUCCAAGGACUUCCCUAUUUAUGUUAUGUCAACUUCUUUCUGAUUCUACACGGUUUAUUGUUGGUAAGGGUAAAGACCGUGCAGUUUGUUUGUUGGAUGUCAACAAGAUUAUUUUUGGACAGAGUAAACAUAAUCUGGUACCUACAGCAGAUCUUCUUUUCUUGCAUGUGCUCCCCUAGAGAAAAAUUCAGUACAAAUUUCUGGGUCUUGCCUUGUAGAUAUUGCUAUCUUUAUUCCAUGUUGCUAGCAUUCAUGGAUCAAAAUUUUGACCAUUAUGUGUUACUGGUUUUCUUGAUAUAUGAUUGCUCAUGAGCUUUUAAAUAGACUAUCAUUGGGUUGCUGGAGUAGUGGAAUUAAUGUGUUAUCUGCUAUGAGCAAGUAUUAGUUGCACUGAUAUAUUAUAUGUUAUCCACACAAUUGGUUAGGUGAAUUCAGGCACUAAACCUGAGAAGGGACGAGAUUAAGGGGCUUCUAAAAAACAGUCUGAUAUUGGAGCUGUUGCAGUGCUUUUGAUAAUGUUCGACUCAUGUUUUCUAAGCAUAUGUAGUAUUUGCUGAUCUGGAUCUCUUACCUGUAAAAUAGCACUAUGGAUGUGAGAAGAGCUGUACUUUUUUAUGAAGUCGAGGUAGGGUAGGUAUUGGCAUCUUGAGGCAGCCGGGAGGCUUUGGCUUCAGCUCAUCGUGGUAUUUCUUUUUCGUUUGAUAUGGCGACUGAAUUGGAUAUUUCUCAUUUUCCUAAGCUCUAGUUGUCCAAGUUUGUUAGUCAAGAGUUAUCAGCAGAGAGAUGUUGCUAUUGGAGUAACUGUCGCUCCAGAUUUUGUCCUUUUGUUUUUAAGUCCUUGUAGCUACUUUGAUAGCGCUAAGAUUUUAAGGAACUUUAUUUUUUGCCUAAAGUUCACAAAUUUAGUUCCAUACCAGUGGUUUUUGCUCCUCUCCAUAGGAGGUGAUUAACAUGAGUAGUUGGAGAAUGGGUAAAUGUUAAACAAAAAAAGUUCUGGUCCUGGACAUCUGAAUUUUUGUUUUGACGUUGACCUGUUCUAGUCAUUUUUGCAUGUUCCAAAAGUGUUUACUUAUCUGCUUGGAUAGCAUUACAAGUGCUUCUGGUUUGUUUUGACAUUGACCUUGUCUAGUCAUUUUUGCAUGUUCCAAAAGUGUUGACUCAUCUGCUUGGAUAGCAUUACAAGAGCUUCUGGUAUGUUUUGUGUGGAGAUGUGUUUAACUACACUUGAAUGCUCUAAGUACUAUCUAAUGCGCUUUCUUCUACGUUGUGUGGUAAUUUGUUGAUCUAUGUGCACCUUGCAGUCUAUGGAGGAUGAGUGUUCUGUUAGGGGCUGAGUGGUGGUGGUUCAAUUUAACUAUGAGCAAGACCUGAAUGCUUCUCAAAAUGAAGAGUCUCCUCUCGCAUGUAUGAAAUCCAGUUGGUGAGGCAGGACUGCGAUUAUAGGUGGUCUAAAGGUAAUAUAGCACCACUAUUUCUUGCUUCAUGGAAUUCGAUGAAGACACACCAGAACCCACGGAAAAAGCAUAUCCAGUAGUGCUCUUCAUAUCGUCAAUGUUUCCUGCCCAAUCACUAUCAACAAAUCCAAGCAAAGCACUUUUUUCAACCGGUCUAGACCAUAUUCCAAGUUGUACAGUACCUUUUAAGUACCUAAGCACUACUUUCCGCAAUUGCAAAAUGAGUGUCGCUGGGACUUCGCAUAAAUCUUGCAAGCAAACUAGCAGCAUACAUUAAAUCAGGUCUUGAAACCUUCAAGUACAAGAGACUUCCAAUCAAACCUCUGCAAAAUGAAGCAUCACACUUUUUGGCUCCAUUUUACUUUGAAAAAUUUGGUAUUCAAAAUCAGUGGUGUAGAAAUUGGUUGCACUUUUGCAUUUGAAUUUUUUCAGCAUCUCCAAAGCAUACUUUUGCUAAUUAAGAAAAAUUUCAGCCUCUGAUUGGUAUACUUCCAGCCCCAAAAUGUACUUCAUCUCUCCCAAAUUUGACAUUUCAAAUUGUUUUGUAUUUUUACUUUAAGAUUUUGCAAUUCUUACUCAUCACAGCCUGUAACAAGAAAAUCGUCGUUUAUAAAGCAUCAAUUAAUGAGCUAUCAUUAGUGAAAAUCUUGGUUGCUGAAAUGAGCAUUCGAUUCUAUUGUACCAAGCUCUUGAUGCCUGCUUCAAUCCAUUCAAUGCUUUUUGAAGCUUGUACAGCUUACCUUCACUUCCUUGAACCACAAAAUCCUCCGGGUCGAGCUACAUAAAUCUCCCCUUCUAGAAAAUCAUUUAAGAAAGUAGAUUUGACAUCUAAAUGCUAGAUUUUUCAUUUGAUUUGUGCUGUCCAUGCAAUCAAAAUUUUGAGUGUGUCCAUCCUUGCAACAGGUACAAAAGUAUCCGAGUAAUCAACUCUAGGCUGUUGAGAAUAACAUUUAAUGACCAGCUUUGGUUUGUGCUUGUUGAUAGAUCUGUCUGCAUUCAACUUCACUCUGUACACCCAUUCAACUCUAAUAACUUGUUUAUUAUCAUGUUUGUCAACGAGUUUUUAUGUCUUGUUCUUCUCAAUCAUGGAUAUUUCCUCCAUCGUCGGUUGCUUCUCAUUGGCAUCUUGAAAGUUUGAAGGUUCCGUGACAGCAAGACUACAUCUUAGAUAAAUUUCAGCCAACAUUUUAGUGUCUCUUAACAGAAAUUUUUUCAUUAUUUUCUGCUUCCGAGUCGUCAUUUGAAUCUUGAAAAACAGGUGCAACAGCCUUCUUUCUGAGUUGAGAUAUAUUCCGUUAAAAGUUGUUUUUAGGCCUGCACCGGAAUUUAGCUUUCAGUUUAAUUUGAAUAAAUAGUAUUUCUUAGUAUUUAGGAGUUUGUUAUUUUCAGUAGAUUUUUUGCUGAUCUUUAGGUAUUUGAAGUUAGUAUUCUAUUAUAAAUUGUAGUCUUAGAUUGCAGUGAAGUCAUAUCGAACUUUUGUUAGAAAAAUGCUUAAGAACUACGGUAAGUGUCUGUUUUGUUUUAUGUGUCAUGACGUGUGUUUUCUUCGAACGAGGUCUUCUAGUUCUUCUCGGUAGCCUGAUCGCUGUCUUAGAAUUUUUGAGAUCUUUCUCAAAAAUUCUGCCCCGGUUUCAGGACUUGCUUCGGGUGCCCCUUGUGUGUUUAGUUUCUAUGUUCCCUAAUUCUUAGGAGUUGAUUUUUUUAACUUUAGUUGAGAUCGUAAACUCUGUAAGUCUGUAACUUAUUUAUAGAAUUUCAAAAGAGUUUUGCUUUCGUCAAUAUUCUUUUGUUGGUUUAUCAAAGUUCUGUUCCACCGGUUUAAUAGUAAGUAAAAUCAAUUUUUUCUGUUCUUAAUUAUCUGGAAACUCAAAAUUGGUAUUGGAAUUGAAAUUAACAAGGCAAUUUUAUCAAGCAUGGAAGUAGAAUCGAGUUUUUCAAGAAUGGCACCUCCUGUUUUUUAAGGUGGUAGUUAUCAGAUUUGGGCGGUAAGGAUGGAAACAUAUCUAGAUGCCGUGGAUCUGUGGGAGGUAGUCGAAGAGGAUUAUGAAAUUCCUCCGCUGCCUAAUAAUCCACUAUGGCCCGAAUCAAGAACCAUAAAGACAAGAAAACCAGAAAAUCAAAGACAAAGGCCUGUCUAUUUUCAGCACAAUUUUCACUCGAAUUAUGUCUUUAAGAUCAGCCAAAUCCAUCUGGUAUUAUCUCAAGAAAGAAUUCAAAGGGGAUGAAAGGAUUAGAGGUACACAAGUGCUUAAUCUUGUAAAAGAUUUCGAGAUGCAGAAGAUGAAAGAAACCGAAACCAUCAAAGAUUACUCUGAAAAGCUGCUAAACAUAGCCAACAGGGUAAGAUUGCUUGGUUCUGCUUUCAAUGUCUCUCGUAUUGUUGAAAAAGUUCUGGUAACUGUGCCGGAAAGAUUUGAAGCAACCAUAACCACGUUGGAAAACACCAAGGAUCUGUCCAAGAUUACCUUGGCAGAGUUGUUGAAUGCUUUGCAGGCUCAAGACCAACAAAGGGUUAUGCGAGAACAAGGAAAUACCGAUAGAGCGCAUUGCUAGCCAAAAUCUAGAUGGUGGAAAAACAAAAAGAAAAGAACAAGAAGAAUCAACAAACAGGUGAUGUAGACAUUCCAGCAAGUACUGUUAAAGGAAAAGCAAAGCAGGAAACUCAAAGAGAAGUUAUCCUCCUUGUAAGCAUUGUGGAAAGAAAGACCAUCCACCAUACAAGUGUUGGAGAAGGCCUGAUGCUAGGUGCAGUAAAUGCAAUCAUCUUGGGUACGAAGCUGUCAUUUGCAAGGAAAAUGGUCAACAACUAGAAGCAUAGCUCAGGUUGUUGAUGGAGAGGAGGAAGAUUAAAUCAUUGUUGCUACAUGUUUUUCAAGUAGAUCAUCGAGCGAGUGUUGGAUGAUUGACAGUGGAUACACUAAUCACAUGACAAAUGACAUGGCUCUCUUCAAGGAAUUGAAGCGUACAACCAUUAUUAAAGUCGUAAUAGAUGGCGAACAUCUUCCUAUAAGAGGAAAAGGAAUCAUUGCUAUUCCAAGUCAUUCAGGUACAAUAACAAUUUCUGAUGUGCUUUAUGUACCUGACAGAGAUCAAAACUUGCUUAGUGUUGGUCAAUUGAUGAAAAAGGCUACAAAUUAUUUUUGAAGAUAAACAUCGCUUGAUCAGGGAUGUUUCAGAUCAAGAAAUGUUUUAAAGUAAAAAUGAGAAGCAAACGUUUCUCAUUAGAUCCAUUUGAGGAGGAGCAUGUCGUUUUUCAGCCAAAGAAAGUGUUGCAGAAAUAUGGCACAAGAGACUCGGACAUUAUCACUAUGAAGGGUUGCUAAAGAUAAAAAAAGCAAAAAUAGUUGAGGACUUACCUGUUUUGAAAGUGAAUUCUUCAAAUUGUCUUGCUUGUCAAUAUUUUAUGGGAAACAAAGCAGACUUCCAUUUCCAAA